rnacentral:misc_RNA from 1 species
GAUGAAGAACGUAUCGAAAUGCGAUAAGUAAUGUGAAUUGCAGAACUCAGUGAAUCAUCGAAUCUUUGAACGCACAUUGCGCCCCUUGGUAUUCCGAGGGGCAUGCCUGCUCGAGCGUCAUUAUAACCCCUCAAGCUCAGCUUGGUGUUGGGGCCUGCUGCACUGGCAGCCCUUAAAAUCAGUGGCGGCGCCAUCUGGCUCUAAGCGUAGUAAUUCUUCUCGCUAUGGAGUCCUGGUGGAUGCUUGCCAUCAACCCCCAAUUUUUCUAUGGUUGACCUCGUAUCAGGUAGGGAUACCCGCUGAACUUAAGCAUAUCAAUAAGCGGAGGA